AUAAUGACUCUUGGCAACGGAUAUCUCGGCUCUCGCAUCGAUGAAGAACGUAGCGAAAUGCGAUACUUGGUGUGAAUUGCAGAAUCCCGUGAACCAUCAAGUCUUUGAACGCAAGUUGCGCCCGAAGCCAUUAGGUUGAGGGCACGCCUGCCUGGGCGUCUCACA
rnacentral:rRNA from 1 species